ACGGGAGGCAGCAGUGGGGAAUAUUGCACAAUGGGCGAAAGCCUGAUGCAGCGACGCCGCGUGAGCGAUGAAGUAUUUCGGUAUGUAAAGCUCUAUCAGCAGGGAAGAUAAUGACGGUACUUGGCUAAGAAGCUCCGGCUAAAUACGUGCCAGCAGCCGCGGUAAUACGUAUGGAGCAAGCGUUAUCCGGAUUUACUGGGUGUAAAGGGAGCGUAGACGGCAAAGCAAGUCUGAAGUGAAAUCCCGGGGCUCAACCCCGGAACUGCUUUGGAAACUGUUUAGCUAGAGUGCAGGAGAGGUAAGCGGAAUUCCUAGUGUAGCGGUGAAAUGCGUAGAUAUUAGGAGGAACACCAGUGGCGAAGGCGGCUUACUGGACUGUAACUGACGUUGAGGCUCGAAAGCGUGGGGAGCAAACAGGAUUAGAUACCCUGGUA
rnacentral:rRNA from 1 species